AUUGAACGCUGGCGGCAGGCCUAACACAUGCAAGUCGAGCGGAGCGGCGGACGGGUGAGUAAUGCCUAGGAAUCUGCCUGGUAGUGGGGGAUAACGUCCGGAAACGGGCGCUAAUACCGCAUACUAUCAGAUGAGCCUAGGUCGGAUGAGCUAGUUGGUGGGGUAAUGGCCUACCAGGGCGACGAUCCGUAACUGGUCUGAGAGGAUGAUCAGUCACACUGGAACUGAAAAACGGUCCAGACUCCUACGGGAGCCAGCAGUGGGGAAUAUUGGGCAAUGGACGAAAGCCUGAUCCAGACAUGCCGCGUGGUUGAGAAGGAUCUUCGGAUUGUAAAGCACUUUAAGUUGGGAGGCGUUACCAGCAGAAUAAGCACCGGCUAACUUCGUGCCAGCCGCGGCGGUAAUAC
rnacentral:rRNA from 1 species